GGGGCGCUGGCGCAAUUGGUAGCGCGUCAGAUUCCAGCUCAUACAGAGUGAGGUGAUUCCUGAAGGUUAUCCGUUCGAUUCGGGUGUGCCUCA
rnacentral:tRNA from 1 species